rnacentral:lncRNA from 1 species
CGCUGCCGCUGUCGCCGCCGCCGCCGCCACCGCGCCAGGUUCCGGCCGCGGCCACCCUCCGCCGUCCAGGGCCCCUCCGUCUCGGCCCCGGGACCCCGGCUCCCCGCCAGCCCCGGCCCCGGCCCCGGCACCAUGUCGGAGAAAAGCGUGGAGGCAGCGGCCGAGUUGAGCGCCAAGGACCUGAAGGAGAAGAAGGAGAAGGUGGAGGAGAAGGCAAGCCGGAAAGAGCGAAAGAAAGAAGUGGUGGAGGAGGAGGAGAACGGGGCUGAGGAGGAAGAAGAAGAAACUGCCGAGGAUGGAGAGGAGGAAGAUGAAGGGGAAGAAGAAGGAAGAAGAAGAAGAGGAUGAUGAAGGGCCCGCGCUGAAGAGAGCUGCCGAAGAGGAGGAUGAAGCGGAUCCCAAACGGCAGAAGACAGAAAAUGGGGCAUCGGCGUGAGCCCCUGCCAACAGGCUGGGGUUGGGAGGCCUCUCUGGGCCUGGAGGUGGGGGUGGGGGCAGCCAAGUCCAGCCACUCUUCACCUGGCUCCCUGCUCUGGGCCCUGCACCAGAGCUGCCACCCUCUUCUUUCUCCCCAGCCUUCUCAUUUCCGCCUCUCCAGACACUGCGCCCUCCACCCUCACUCUGCCAUUGUUCCACCUCCUGACCUGCUCCAUCUGAGCUCUCCAGCUGGCCCCCAAUUGCUCCUCUCUCUCUUUGCUCUCUUUCUCCCUCCCCUACCAGCCUCAUUCUUCCUCCGGUAGCCUCUCCCACCUAACCUCUGCAUCCCCCAGCCUCAUGUCCUGCCCCAUCCCUAUCCUGCCUGAUCCCUGGAUCUCCCUCAGAUCCCCUCUUCUCAGACAGCGCCAGGCCGGGGUGGGGCCGGGGUUGGGGCCGAGCCCCACAGCUGCCCCCCUCCCCUCCCUUUUUGUAUAAUUUAAUAAAGAAAUGGUCGCG